GACGAACCGUGCGAACGUUGUUCGGAAUCACUGGGCUUAAAGGGCGCGUAGGCGGCAAAUCAAGUCCGGGGUGAAAGCCCUCAGCUCAACUGGGGAAGUGCCUCGGAUACUGGCUUGCUGGAGGGAGGUAGGGGUCGAGGGAACUUCUGGUGGAGCGGUGAAAUGCGUUGAUAUCAGAAGGAACGCCGGUGGCGAAAGCGCUCGACUGGACCUUUCUGACGCUGAGGCGCGAAAGCUAGGGGAGCAAACAGGGAUUAAGAAACCCCAGUACGUACCGAGAACCC
rnacentral:rRNA from 1 species